GCAAGUCGAACGAGAAAGUUCCUUCGGGAAUGAGUAAAGUGGCGGACGGGUGAGGAACGCGUGGAUAACCUACCCUUCAGCGGGGGAUAACUAUUCGAAAGGAUAGCUAAUACCGCAUAAGACUACGACUCCUGAGGGUAACGUAGUUAAAGGCUUCGGCCACUGAAGGAUGGGUCCGCGUCCGAUUAGCUUGUUGGUGGGGUAAAAGCCCACCAAGGCUACGAUCGGUAGCUGGUCUCAGAGGAUGAUC
rnacentral:rRNA from 1 species